rnacentral:rRNA from 1 species
GACCCCGUGAACCUUUACUAUAGCUUGACACUGAACACUGGUCCUUGAUGUGCAGGAUAGGUGGGAGGCUUUGAAGUGUGGACGCCAGUCUGCAUGGAGCCGUCCUUGAAAUACCACCCUUUAAUGGCUGGUGUUCUAACGUAGACCCGUGAACCGGGUUGCGGACAGUGUCUGGUGGGUAGUUUGACUGGGGCGGUCUCCUCCUAAAGCGUAACGGAGGAGCACGAAGGUUGGCUAAUCCUGGUCGGACAUCAGGAGGUUAGUGCAAUGGCAUAAGCCAGCUUGACUGCGAGCGUGACGGCGCGAGCAGGUGCGAAAGCAGGUCAUAGUGAUCCGGUGGUUCUGAAUGGAAGGGCCAUCGCUCAACGGAUAAAAGGUACUCCGGGGAUAACAGGCUGAUACCGCCCAAGAGUUCAUAUCGACGGCGGUGUUUGGCACCUCGAUGUCGGCUCAUCACAUCCUGGGGCUGAAGUAGGUCCCAAGGGUAUGGCUGUUCGCCAUUUAAAGUGGUACGCGAGCUGGGUUUAGAACGUCGUGAGACAGUUCGGUCCCUAUCUGCCGUGGGCGCUGGAGAACUGAGGGGGGCUGCUCCUAGUACGAGAGGACCGGAGUGGACGCAUCACUGGUGUUCGGGUUGUCAUGCCAAUGGCACUGCCCGGUAGCUAAAUGCGGAAGAGAUAAGUGCUGAAAGCAUCUAAGCACGAAACUUGCCCCG